rnacentral:lncRNA from 1 species
UAUGUUGAGAACUAAAUAAGAGAAGGGAUAUAGAGAGGAAGUUCCCAGAAAUCUAAGUUCAUUCUAAUCCUUAAAAGGAACUAUUGGAACACAACCCUUUUGCAAAUUAAGGACUUUCAGUGCACCUUUGGGGAAAUCCCCAAAUACUUUUUUUUUUGUUGGUAAAAUGUGUUCAUCUUCUUCUUACAUACCUAUUAAAUUGUUGAGGGUAGGAAUCAAAUCUCAUUCAUUUUUAUAUCCCAGGCAUAAUUCCUGGCACACAACAGAUGCUGUGUAAUGUAUUACUACAAGACCCUUUGAAAUAGUGAAAAGAUUAAAGUUGGAGUUAGAAGGCCUAGGGUUUUUCUUCCUUAAUUCAUUAGAGCUUUAAGACCUUUGUUGAUUAUGUGACAUUAUUUGAACCUCAGUUUCAACUCAUGAGUGUACUGCUUGUUUCAUUUACUUCACAGAAUUGGGAAAUAAAUGAGAUAAAAUAUGCUGAAGUAUCUUUAAAAAUGCUGUGCAGUUGUGAAAGUCAUCACCAUUGUUAGUAUUAUACAUAUUUCUGGGAAGUACUUGAUAGAGAGCUCCAUUGUUAAGAAAUUACUUGGAUGAGUUUGGCAGACUGCUAGCUGAUCAUUGAAAACUCUGCUGUUUCCUCUUCUUUCUGGGCCUACAGCUGGACUGUUUCUAUGCCACCCUUGCAUUUAGGUGUGGUCAUAUGCGGAGUUCUAACUAAUGGAAUGAACAGAAGUAAUAGGCACCACUUCCAGCCCUGGCCCAUAAAAUCACCCAUGAAGAUCCCUCAGAGUUCUUUUUUCCUUCUGUCUAGCUGGAAUGGAGACCGCCUUCAGGUUAACCUUGGAAGCCA